ensembl:snRNA U6 U6 spliceosomal RNA
GUGCUGGCUUGGGCAGCACAUAUACUAAAAUUGGAACAAUACGGAGAAAAUAAGCAUGGCCCCUGCCAAAGGAUGACACACAAAUUCAUGAAGCAUUCCAUAUUGAA